UACGGAGGAUCCGAGCGUUAUCCGGAUUUAUUGGGUUUAAAGGGUGCGUAGGUGGGCUGAUAAGUCAGCGGUGAAAGUUUGUCGCUCAACGAUAAAAUUGCCGUUGAAACUGUCAGUCUUGAGUAUGUUUGAGGUAGGCGGAAUGCGUGGUGUAGCGGUGAAAUGCUUAGAUAUCACGCAGAACUCCGAUUGCGAAGGCAGCUUACUAAACCAUAACUGACACUGAUGCACGAAAGCGUGGGGAUCAAACAGGAUUAGAUACCCUGGUAGUCCACGCUGUAAACGAUGAUAACUAGGAGUUUGCGAUAGGCAGUAAGCUCUACAGCGAAAGCGUUAAGUCAUCCACCUGGGGAGUACGCCGGCAACGGUGAA
rnacentral:rRNA from 1 species